rnacentral:rRNA from 1 species
AGCGAACGCUGGCGGCAGGCUUAACACAUGCAAGUCGAGCGGGCGUAGCAAUACGUCAGCGGCAGACGGGUGAGUAACGCGUGGGAACGUACCUUUGGUUCGGAACAACACAGGGAAACUUGUGCUAAUACCGGAUAAAGCCCUUACGGGGAAAGAUUUAUCGCCGAAAGAUCGGCCCGCGUCUGAUUAGCUAGUUGGUGUGGCAACGGCGCACCAAGGCGACGAUCAGUAGCGGUCUGAGAGGAUGAUCAGCCACAUUGGGACUGAGACACGGCCCAAACUCCUACGGGAGGCAGCAGUGGGGAAUAUU